rnacentral:lncRNA from 1 species
UCAUCUAUCCCCUGCAGUUUCAGCCAAUAAUUAUUUCUUAAUAAACAUUGCCAUGGCGAGUAAAGGCUCUAGAGUUCCAUCAACAUUUUUUAAGCUACCAUCACUGUUUGGUUUCAUUUUGAUGGCAAUUGCUACACCAUUCUUCUAUUUUGUUUGGUUAUCACCCAAAGAAAUUCCAUCAUUUGUCAUCAGCCCCAUUGCUGAUGUCAUUGUGUAUUGUGAUGCCCACUUUGCUUUUUGGAUCAACUUAGGGAUGUGGACUACAAUUGGGAUCCAUGUGUGUGAGAGCAUUGUGGCCUUGAUUCUCAGUUUCCGGUAUGGACUUACGCUACUGACUUCACUUCUGUGGAUGAUACAGACUUUUGUGUUUGGAGUCUUCUCAUUGUCAAUUCUGUGGAAUGCACCUGACCAUUUUGCCAAAUCGAAAAAGAAAAAAUAUUGAGGACUUAACGUGCCACCAUCGUGUAACGACCGUGCCAUCUGUUAACUAUAUUCUCCUCGGGACGAUUCAAUUUUAGUUCUCUUUCAAAGGGCCAGGAGUAUUUUACUAAAUGACUUGUAGCUGUAGCGCGAUCUCCACUUGAUCGCACGAUUGCUGGAUUUAACGAUUGCCGUACGAUGUUGUCGUGCCUCGCGACCGAACUCUCUUGUGACGCUGGUGCUCUCCCUCGCGACCGAACUCUGUUGUGACGCUGGUGCUCUCCCUCGCGACCGAACUCGGUUGUGACGCUGGUGCUCUCCCUCGCGACCGAACUCGGUUGUGACGCUGGUGCUCUCCCUCGCGACCGAACUCGGUUGUGACGCUGGUGCUGCCUUCAGUGUAGCGCAGCAACGCGCGCUCACUCGAUAUUGAUGCACUCAGAUCCACAGCUUAUCUGAGCUGCUCCGAAUACAUCUUUAUUUUUCUGCAUAAACCUUCUGAAUGGCCUUUUCAAAUAAGGCCUGAGUUUAAAUUUCUAGCAUUGGUAUGACAACACGUCAACACCUCGCUUGUGAACGGUAUGAUAUCAAGCGCGAGGAGAUAUCGAGCUGCUAGCAGAGUUGGCUACUGAGACAGAGCUUCUUUUUCGCAUAUUUUCUCAAUUAUGGAAAAAAGGCGCUAUUGUGCUCUACAUGUCCGUCCGUCCGUGGUGUCCGUC